AAAACCCCCCCGCACCCAUAUCAUUCUCUUCAUCAUCUCAUGAUCACCCAACACCAACACCACAACUCUCCCAUCUCUUUCUCUCUCUCUCUCUCUUUCCCUAUCUCUGUCUCGCUCACUGUCUCGUCCCCCUUGAAGACAGGCGAGACUCUUGGGGGAUAAAGAGAUAAGAGUAUCAGAGAAACACAUAAACAAACCACUUAGUUGCAACCAACAAUUUAUGAGAAAAGUCUUUUGAAGAUAUAGCUUUAAUUCGGAUGUGCCAAGGAGCUACUCUUUUGAGGGGAAUGUUGUCUGGCUCGAGGACACUUUCUUUUAAUCCAUUUUCUUGCAUUAGUUUGCUCCUAUGGAUCUGAUUAUGGUUUUAAUGGAUUGAGCUUGUGCUAGUGCCGUCGGACCAGGCUUCAUUCCCCCCAAUUAUUGCUUCCAUACGGCACUCUGUAGCAAAGGCUAGAUUCUAGAUCAUGGACUGCAGCAUGUAAAGGUAGAUCCUUCCCAUGAUGGUUUCCUGUAUCUGAUCUGUCUGUUUCUGCUGUUUUUCAGAUCUGGCUUUGAACUUUGGUAAACAUACUCUCUUCUUUUUAACGCCAUCCCUAUCUUUCUUCCUUUUUCAUUGCUCUAGGGUUUCAAGGUGGAGAGCUUGGCACUUCCCUCAAAUGAACCUCUUUGAACAAAGCUUGACCUGGGUAAAGGACCAAAGGUAAACAGAAAAGAAAGACUUGCCCUUUCUCUAACAAUUUCAAAUUUCCGUGAAAAAUAUUUCUUGUAGUGAGGAGUUAUUACUCAACCCAAUUCGGAAGAACUUUAUAUUCGUGAGUGAUUCUUUGAAAUGAUGUUUAAUUUUCUUUAACACACAUGGCUCUUUAUCAACUUUCUUUCUUUAUUGAUGUACACUAAUUGGAUCUGUAUUAUCCUUUACCUGCUUUGCAUGGUGAAGGAAGUGCAUUUAAGUAUUGAAUUUAAUAUGAUGCAGUAAUAAUUUUGAACACCUCAGUUAUAUUUUACUUUAUUUAGAUUCUCUAGCUAGCAAGCUUGUGCUAUUGGAAUGAAUAAUGGACCUUUCACUGUAAAUAUUACAUGUCUUGUAGAGUUAGCAUGAUAGGACAAUGACAGCUUUUGUAAAUAAGAGCUGUGUCAAUGGAAGUGUGGGCACAGACAUGGGUCUGAUUAAAGGAAACCCAUCACAUGCCUUGGCUUUGUCAUGACAUCUUAUCUAAAACCCUAAAUUUGAUCAACAAGUUGUCCCUGUUGAGUGUUGAAAUUUGGUAAAAUAACACGCUUAAUUGUUCCAUCGAAUGCUUUCUUCUCUCCUCCUGGGUUUUAAAGAGUGAUGGGUUUCUCCUCCAGGGAUUGAGAUGUGUGCUUACUUCUCACGGUAUUUGUGUUCCUUACAACAGGGUUAAGGAACUUCGUGCAGUAAAGCACAUGCUUUAAUUACCAAGUAACUAUCAUUUGAAGGAAGGGAGCUUUUCCCUAUGUUUGUGCUUCUUCAGUACAUUUUAGGGAAUUAGUGUUCAAAACGAGGUGUAAAAUUUUAACAUUUCCCAUCAUACUUUUUCCAUAAUUUGCUCUUGCUUUACUCUUGGAUGCUGAGGAACAGAACACACGAAGAAACAGUUGAUUAGAAAGAUUGGCAGAGGAGAGUUUAUCUAGGGCCUGUAGGCCUUGGGUAACACGUAUCCCAGUAGCUUGUCACACCGGUAUUUAUCAUCUAAAACUCCUCCGCCCUCUUUGUCCUUGCCAGCACCCCUACAUUGACCAACAAUCACAUUACUGUUCACAUGCUCACCAGAAGGAUUACCCAUGGACAACUUCUCUUAAUGCUUAUAGCGGUGAAAGUUUUGUGUUUUAAAAUCCUGGUUAGGAAUCUAGGAAACAAAUGUCAGGUUUUUUUUAAUACUCCCUACUUGUAUCACUUGUAUGUGCAUUGUACCUUGAGGGUAACAGCAUUAAUGUACCUACAUUCUAUCACUGGAUUUGGAUACUUAUCCUUCUCUCUUUUUUUA
rnacentral:sRNA from 1 species